rnacentral:rRNA from 1 species
GGGGGGUAGAGCACUGUUUCGGCUAGGGGGUCAUCCCGACUUACCAAACCGAUGCAAACUCCGAAUACCCAGAAGUGCCGAGCAUGGGAGACACACGGCGGGUGCUAACGUCCGUCGUGAAAAGGGAAACAACCCAGACCGCCAGCUAAGGUCCCAAAGUUGUGGUUAAGUGGUAAACGAUGUGGGAAGGCUUAGACAGCUAGGAGGUUGGCUUAGAAGCAGCCACCCUUUAAAGAAAGCGUAAUAGCUCACUAGUCGAGUCGGCCUGCGCGGAAGAUGUAACGGGGCUCAAACCACACACCGAAGCUGCGGGUGUCACGUAAGUGACGCGGUAGAGGAGCGUUCUGUAAGCCUGUGAAGGUGAGUUGAGAAGCUUGCUGGAGGUAUCAGAAGUGCGAAUGCUGACAUGAGUAACGACAAUGGGUGUGAAAAACACCCACGCCGAAAGACCAAGGGUUCCUGCGCAACGUUAAUCGACGCAGGGUUAGUCGGUUCCUAAGGCGAGGCUGAAAAGCGUAGUCGAUGGGAAACAGGUUAAUAUUCCUGUACUUCUGGUUACUGCGAUGGAGGGACGGAGAAGGCUAGGCCAGCUUGGCGUUGGUUGUCCAAGUUUAAGGUGGUAGGCUGAAAUCUUAGGUAAAUCCGGGGUUUCAAGGCCGAGAGCUGAUGACGAGUCGUCUUUUAGAUGACGAAGUGGUUGAUGCCAUGCUUCCAAGAAAAGCUUCUAAGCUUCAGGUAACCAGGAACCGUACCCCAAACCGACACAGGUGGUCGGGUAGAGAAUACCAAGGCGCUUGAGAGAACUCGGGUGAAGGAACUAGGCAAAAUGGCACCGUAACUUCGGGAGAAGGUGCGCCGGCUAGGGUGAAGGAUUUACUCCGUAAGCUCUGGCUGGUCGAAGAUACCAGGCCGCUGCGACUGUUUAUUAAAAACACAGCACUCUGCAAACACGAAAGUGGACGUAUAGGGUGUGACGCCUGCCCGGUGCCGGAAGGUUAAUUGAUGGGGUUAGCGCAAGCGAAGCUCUUGAUCGAAGCCCCGGUAAACGGCGGCCGUAACUAUAACGGUCCUAAGGUAGCGAAAUUCCUUGUCGGGUAAGUUCCGACCUGCACGAAUGGCGUAACGAUGGCGGCGCUGUCUCCACCCGAGACUCAGUGAAAUUGAAAUCGCUGUGAAGAUGCAGUGUAUCCGCGGCUAGACGGAAAGACCCCGUGAACCUUUACUGUAGCUUUGCACUGGACUUUGAGCCUGCUUGUGUAGGAUAGGUGGGAGGCUUUGAAGCGUGGACGCCAGUUCGCGUGGAGCCAUCCUUGAAAUACCACCCUGGCAUGCUUGAGGUUCUAACUCUGGUCCGUAAUCCGGAUCGAGGACAGUGUAUGGUGGGCAGUUUGACUGGGGCGGUCUCCUCCUAAAGAGUAACGGAGGAGUACGAAGGUGCGCUCAGACCGGUCGGAAAUCGGUCGUAGAGUAUAAAGGCAAAAGCGCGCUUGACUGCGAGACAGACACGUCGAGCAGGUACGAAAGUAGGUCUUAGUGAUCCGGUGGUUCUGUAUGGAAGGGCCAUCGCUCAACGGAUAAAAGGUACUCCGGGGAUAACAGGCUGAUACCGCCCAAGAGUUCAUAUCGACGGCGGUGUUUGGCACCUCGAUGUCGGCUCAUCACAUCCUGGGGCUGAAGCCGGUCCCAAGGGUAUGGCUGUUCGCCAUUUAAAGUGGUACGCGAGCUGGGUUUAGAACGUCGUGAGACAGUUCGGUCCCUAUCUGCCGUGGACGUUUGAGAUUUGAGAGGGGCUGCUCCUAGUACGAGAGGACCGGAGUGGACGAACCUCUGGUGUUCCGGUUGUCACGCCAGUGGCAUUGCCGGGUAGCUAUGUUCGGAAAAGAUAACCGCUGAAAGCAUCUAAGCGGGAAACUUGCCUCAAGAUGAGAUCUCACUGGGAACUUGAUUCCCCUGAAGGGCCGUCGAAGACUACGACGUUGAUAGGCUGGGUGUGUAAGCGUUGUGAGGCGUUGAGCUAACCAGUACUAAUUGCCCGUGAGGCUUGACCAUAUAACACCCAAACA